UUUCCGUAGGUGAACCUGCGGAAGGAUCAUUGAAGAAAAGAUCUUUGUGUGGGAGAAGGGAGGGAGAGAAGAAGAUGAUUUUUCUCGAACCUCUUUCUUUCAUACGACUAACCCCACAUGUGAACAACUGGUUUCAUGCUGUGCAGAGAAAGGGGAUGUUGGGAGUGGGGGAAAAAGGGUUACUUUUUCCUUUAAUACCAUUACACUUUUCUGUGUAGCCAUGAACAAACAACAAAUCCCUUUGUUUUUUGUUUAUUGUUAUAGUGACACAUGUUACUAGAAAAAGAAGACCUUCAUUUAUAAACAUAACAACUUUUAACAAUGGAUCUCUUGGCUCUC
rnacentral:misc_RNA from 1 species